rnacentral:rRNA from 1 species
GAUGAACGCUGGCGGCGUGCCUAAUACAUGCAAGUCGAGCGAACAGACGAGGAGCUUGCUCCUCUGACGUUAGCGGCGGACGGGUGAGUAACACGUGGAUAACCUACCUAUAAGACUGGGAUAACUUCGGGAAACCGGAGCUAAUACCGGAUAAUAUAUUGAACCGCAUGGUUCAAUAGUGAAAGACGGUUUUGCUGUCACUUAUAGAUGGAUCCGCGCCGCAUUAGCUAGUUGGUAAGGUAACGGCUUACCAAGGCAACGAUGCGUAGCCGACCUGAGAGGGGGAUCGGCCAAACUGGAACCGAGACACGGGCCCAACUCCUACGGGAGGCAGCAGUAGGGAAUCUUCCGCAAUGGGGGAAAGCCUGACGGAGCAACGCCGCGUGAGUGAUUAAGGUCUUCGGAUCGUAAAACUCUGUUAUUAGGGAAGAACAAAUGUGUAAGUAACUAUGCACGUCUUGACGGGACCUUAUCAGAAAGCCACGGCUAACUACGUG